GCCUUACACAUGCAAGUCGAACGGCAGCACGGACUUCGGUCUGGUGGCGAGUGGCGAACGGGUGAGUAAUGUAUCGGAACGUGCCUAGUAGCGGGGGAUAACUACGCGAAAGCGUAGCUAAUACCGCAUACGCCCUACGGGGGAAAGCAGGGGAUCGCAAGACCUUGCACUAUUAGAGCGGCCGAUAUCGGAUUAGCUAGUUGGUGGGGUAACGGCUCACCAAGGCGACGAUCCGUAGCUGGUUUGAGAGGACGACCAGCCACACUGGGACUGAGACACGGCCCAGACUCCUACGGGAGGCAGCAGUGGGGAAUUUUGGACAAUGGGGGAAACCCUGAUCCAGCCAUCCCGCGUGUGCGAUGAAGGCCUUCGGGUUGUAAAGCACUUUUGGCAGGAAAGAAACGUCAUGGGCUAAUACCCCGUGAAACUGACGGUACCUGCAGAAUAAGCACCGGCUAACUACGUGCCAGCAGCCGCGGUAAUACGUAGGGUGCAAGCGUUAAUCGGAAUUACUGGGCGUAAAGCGUGCGCAGGCGGUUCGGAAAGAAAGAUGUGAAAUCCCAGAGCUUAACUUUGGAACUGCAUUUUUAACUACCGGGCUAGAGUGUGUCAGAGGGAGGUGGAAUUCCGCGUGUAGCAGUGAAAUGCGUAGAUAUGCGGAGGAACACCGAUGGCGAAGGCAGCCUCCUGGGAUAACACUGACGCUCAUGCUCGAAAGCGUGGGGAGC
rnacentral:rRNA from 1 species